rnacentral:rRNA from 1 species
GCGAAUACCGGAGAAUGUUAUCACGGGAGACACACGGCGGGUGCUAACGUCCGUCGUGAAGAGGGAAACAACCCAGACCGCCAGCUAAGGUCCCAAAGUCAUGGUUAAGUGGGAAACGAUGUGGGAAGGCCCAGACAGCCAGGAUGUUGGCUUAGAAGCAGCCAUCAUUUAAAGAAAGCGUAAUAGCUCACUGGUCGAGUCGGCCUGCGCGGAAGAUGUAACGGGGCUAAACCAUGCACCGAAGCUGCGGCAGCGACACUGUGUGUUGUUGGGUAGGGGAGCGUUCUGUAAGCCUGUGAAGGUGGCCUGUGAGGGUUGCUGGAGGUAUCAGAAGUGCGAAUGCUGACAUAAGUAACGAUAAAGCGGGUGAAAAGCCCGCUCGCCGGAAGACCAAGGGUUCCUGUCCAACGUUAAUCGGGGCAGGGUGAGUCGACCCCUAAGGCGAGGCCGAAAGGCGUAGUCGAUGGGAAACGGGUUAAUAUUCCCGUACUUGGUGUUACUGCGAAGGGGGGACGGAGAAGGCUAUGUUGGCCGGGCGAC